rnacentral:rRNA from 1 species
UUCGGGCUUUAUUUGCGCAGGAUAGGUGGGAGGCUUUGAGAGUGUUUUUGAGGGAACAUUUGAGCCAUUGGUGAGAUACCACUCUUAUAAAGCUAGAAUUCUAACCUUAUACCGUUAGCCGGUUAAGGAACAGUCUCUGGUGGGCAGUUUGACUGGGGCGGUCGCCUCCUAAAAGGUAACGGAGGCGCACAAAGGUUUCCUCAGAUCGGUCAGAAAUCGAUCGUAGAGCGUAAAGGCAUAAGGAAGCUUGACUGCGAGACCUACAAGUCGAGCAGAGACGAAAGUCGGUCUUAGUGAUCUGACGGUUCCGAGUGGAAGGGCCGUCACUCAACGGAUAAAAGUUACUCUAGGGAUAACA